rnacentral:rRNA from 1 species
AUACGUAGGUGACAAGCGUUAUCCGGAUUUACUGGGCGUAAAGGGCGUGUAGGCGGUCUUGCAAGUCAGAAGUGAAAUUCCUGAGCUCAACUCGGGCGCUGCUUCUGAAACUGCAGGACUUGAGUGCUGGAGGGGAUAGCGGAAUUCCUAGUGGAGCGGUAAAAUGCGCAGAUAUUAGGAAGAACACCGGUGGCGAAGGCGGCUAUCUUGACAGUAACUGACGCUGAGGCGCGAAAGCGUGGGGAGCGAACAGGAUUAGAUACCCUGGUAGUCCACGCGGUAAACGAUGAAUGCUAGGUGUUGCGGGUAUCGACCCCUGCAGUGCCGGAGUAAACACAAUAAGCAUUCCGCCUGGGGAGUACGGCCGCAAGGUUGAAACUCAAAGGAAUUGACGGGG